UCCCACCAGAGCACCGCCAGGCAUGGAGCUGCAGAGCCCCAGACUCCGUGCUCCUGCCUCCACUCCGCCCACAGUCCCAACGGAUUUCAAACCCUCUCCCUUCUCCCUCCCACCCCCAGGUCUGUCCCUGCAGCUGUCUCCAAUCCUCCACCCUCUGUCCAGCCUCCUGGGGAGGGGUGCCCUUCCCACACUCUUUCCCGCCCCUGCCAUGCAAAAGUGGCCCCCGACAUCUGCAGCUUCCCUCCCCCAAGUUCACCUCUCCACGACCCUCACCACUGAAGUCCAUGGCCCAGGCCAUGCAGACUGCCGUGUCAAUCCCCAGAUCAGUUUCUAGGCGCAGCAGGAUGGUCCAGUGUUGGUCUGGCGUCACUCCACAGACACAAGGUACACAAAAAACCUCCAUGCUGUUCUGCCAUCCCAGCUUUCCACUCUCCCCCCUCCCCCCACAACUUCUAAACUUAAUGUCAUUUCAUUCAGAACAUGUGAUUCAACAUGAGAAAAAGAAAAAAUAAGCUCAGGAAUUAACUGAUUUCUCUCUGAUACACCCACAGUAUAAAGGAGCUGCUCAGAUGUUUGCUAAAUGAAGUGGCUGAAUAAUCAGGACCAACCAAAUCAAGGAAGACACAUGACAGAUGUAAUAAUAGACAUCUUGCAAAUAAAAGGUAAGUCCA